rnacentral:rRNA from 1 species
UACGAAGGGGGCUAGCGUUGCUCGGAAUCACUGGGCGUAAAAGCGCACGUAGGCGGAUCUUUAAGUCAGGGGUGAAAUCCUGGAGCUCAACUCCCGAACUGCCUUUGAUACUGGGGAUCUCGAGUCCGGAAGAGGUGAGUGGAACUCCGAGUGUAGAGGUGAAAAUUCGUAGAUAUUCGGAAGAACACCAGUGGCGAAGGGCGGCUCACUGGUCCGGUACUGACGCUGAGGUGCGAAAGCGUGGGGAGCAAACAGG